UCGUAGGCGGCGUGUCGCGUCUGCUGUGAAUGACCGGGGCUUAACUCCGGUUCUGCAGUGGAUACGGGCAUGCUAGAGGUAGGUAGGGGAGACUGGAAUUCCUGGUGUAUCGGUGAAAUGCGCAGAUAUCAGGAGGAACACCGGUGGCGAAGGCGGGUCUCUGGGCCUUACCUGACGCUGAGGAGCGAAAGCAUGGGGAGCGAACAGGAUUAGAUACCCUGGUAGUCCAUGCCGUAAACGUUGGGCGCUAGGUGUGGGGACUUUCCACGGUUUCCGCGCCGUUCUAACGCAUUAAGCGCCCCGCCUGGGGAUUACGGCCGCAAGGCUAAAACUCACAGGAAUUGACGGGGGCCCGCACAAGCGGCGGAGCAUGUUGCUUAAUUCGACGCAACGCGAAGAACCUUACCAAGGUUUGACAUCACCCGUGGACCUGUARAGAUACAGGGUCAUUUAGUUGGUGGGUGACAGGUGGUGCAUGGCUGUCGUCAGCUCGUGUCGUGAGAUGUUGGGUUAAGUCCCGCAACGAGCGCAACCCUUGUUCCAUGUUGCCAGCACGUAAUGGUGGGGACUCAUGGGAGACUGCCGGGGUCAACUCGGAGGAAGGUGGGGACGACGUCAAGUCAUCAUGCCCCUUAUGUCUUGGGCUGCAAACAUGCUACAAUGGCCGGUACAAUGGGCGUGCGAUACCGUAAGGUGGAGCGAAUCCCUUAAAGCCGGUCUCAGUUCGGAUUGGGGUCUGCAACUCGACCCCAUGAAGGUGGAGUCGCUAGUAAUCGCGGAUCAGCAUCGCCGCGGAGAAUAC
rnacentral:rRNA from 2 species